UUCUAUUAGGUUGACAUGAAUCCAUCAAAAUCUCGGAAAUAUGAAAUGCAAUCAACUUCAAAAACUAUUAAGCAUUCAUACGUUGCACUAUGCCUUAGCAAGGGGACAAAGGCAAAGCUUUAGAUCAUUGGGUUAGGUAAGGGUGAAUGCUGAACAGAGACUCCCAAUUGGAAAUAGCAAAAAUCGUAAUGCAACAGCUUUUUAUCUGAAUGAGCUAGCUCAGAAUACAAAUCUUGCACCUCCUGGUUUUGAUCCACUAGAAGAUGAUGUUUCCCUUCCUCAAGAAGUUGAAGUGAUGCAAGACACUCAAAGAAGCAAAAUAAGUCCAUGUGAAUCUAAAAGGCAAAAAAGUGAGGAAAGAACAGAUGUAAAAAUGUUCUAGGACUCAAAGUUGGAGAAAAGUUGAGCGUCACUUUCUACCACAAUCGAGUUGUUGGGAAGCAUUCAGCCACAUUUGUGAGACACUUUGGUAUAUUAGUUCGUGAUCGAAAUAUGUAUUCAUUGCGCGUACACUCCUGGGCGGAUAUCGAAGAAUAUAAGUUGCACCACAUGUGGGAAGCUGUUACUGACAAAUUUGAUAGUGCUGAGAUAAUUGGUCAAAGAGAUCGUGUCUUCAAACAUAUUAGAAGGUUAUGGAAUAAUUGGAGGGGAUCAUUGCAAAUGAUUGUGAAAUCUAAGCCAUUACGCGACGUUCUAAAUGAUGUGCCUGAGGGAGUCGACAAGAGUGAUUGGGAAUGGUAGGUUAAGGAGCACUUCUUAUCUGAAAAGUUUAAGGAAAGAAGUACAGGAAACUCAAUCAAUAGGUCUAAGUUGAUUAUGCCUCAUUGUACAGAUAGCAAGCCUAUCAGAGAGAUUAUUUAUGAACUGGGGGACAAAGAUGGUAAUCAACCAGAUAUGGCAACUGUUUUCUUUGAGACUCAUAAGAAGGACGAUAAGCUUGUCGAACCUGAAACCAAUGAAAAAUAUGCUGAAAUUCAAGAACUGGUACAAUCUGAGUCGUCUCUUACAAACAUUGAGGUUGUAUAAAGAUGCUUUGGACCUCAAUGCAAGAGUCAUGUAGUUGGAUUUGGAGGUGGAAUAACUGCUAAGGAGCUGAAAAGCGGUAACUCCUAUAAGGCUGCACUGUUGGAUAAGCUGAAUGCAACUCGGAAAGAAAAAUCUAGACCCUUAAUUUGGUAGUUUGCAUGUGAUUAGUAUCCAGCAAUACAUUGAACAUACUGGAUAGAAAAAUACUAUGAAUAGCAGUCAACUAGUCAGAUACCUCUGCUCUGGAUUUUAGCAGAUAUCUCUGUUUUGUUCUUUGAAAGUGUAACUUUCUUGUAUGCUUUAGCAUAUUAUUUUAUUAAUACUAUAUAAAAAAGCAAUAGCAACUACUUUGUAGGUAAAAAAAUAAAUAGUAGUGUCUCUACCAUAUGUAGUUUUCAUUUUCUUUUUCGACUCUUUAUUGAUAUUGACAUGCGUUAGAUAGUUUCAUUCAUGAUACAAAUAGACAGAACAAUAGUAGG